rnacentral:rRNA from 1 species
UCCUACGGGAGGCAGCAGUGGGGAAUUUUGGACAAUGGGCGAAAGCCUGAUCCAGCAAUGCCGCGUGUGUGAAGAAGGCCUUCGGGUUGUAAAGCACUUUUGUCCGGAAAGAAAUGGCUCUGGUUAAUACCUGGGGUCGAUGACGGUACCGGAAGAAUAAGGACCGGCUAACUACGUGCCAGCACGGCCGGCGGUA